rnacentral:lncRNA from 1 species
ACCGGUCCGGCCGGCCACCGGUACGCCGAUCCGGACCGGUACGGCGGACCUUGGUUCAAAGGGUUUGGAAGAUAGUCAGGAAUAAUAUUAUUCAUUUUGUCAAUGGAAUCAUUUCCAUGGUUUCAAUGCCUAAAUUUUUGGGGAGAAAUAAUUACCUCAAGUAUUCUUUCCCCUUCUUUGACACUUUUGUUCUUUUAAUCAUCUAGUUAAAGAAUAUAAAUAAGGAUGCUGACACACUUCUUAAAUAUCUUUCUUUUUAUUCCAUCCCUUUGACAAGAUCUAUCACCAACUUCUGUUAAUUAAUACAACAAAAAAUGAUGCUAUCAAAUUCCUUUCACUGCUUCAACCUCUCCAAUGAAAUCUGAUGUCUAACCCUCAACUUCCUGUGGCAUUGCUGUAGCUAAACUAGAUGAAACUACAUUGUUAAUACCCAAAAAGUUCUAUGAGAUCCUAAGUUAGAAAGUGCUCCAGUUUUUCAGGUGUUUUUCCUCAAUGCGGUACACUGAGACACACACAAACACAAAAAUAGGGGAGGGCGCAGGGGAAGAGAGAGAGAGAGAGAGAGAGAGAGAGAGAGAGAGAGAGA